rnacentral:snRNA from 1 species
AAACUUACCUGGCGCGGGGGAUACCGUGAUCAGGAAGGCGGUGCCUCCAGGACGAGGCGGCCUUACAUUGCACUGCCGUAUGUGCUGACUCCUCCGCUGACUGCACCGCCAAAUCGGGGUGGCUCGCAGUCGCAUAAUUUUUGGUAGUGGGAACAAGCGUUUUCGCGCCUGUCCCUA